GAGUUUGAUCGUGGCUCAGAUUGAACGCUGGCGGCAUGCCUUACACAUGCAAGUCGAACGGCAGCACGGGAGCUUGCUCCUGGUGGCGAGUGGCGAACGGGUGAGUAAUGCAUCGGAACGUAUCCUGGAGUGGGGGAUAACGUAGCGAAAGUUACGCUAAUACCCGCAUAUUCUGUGAGCAGGAAAGCGGGGGACCUUCGGGCCUCGCGCUCUUGGAGCGGCCGAUGUCGGAUUAGCUAGUUGGUGAGGUAAAGGCUCACCAAGGCGACGAUCCGUAGCAGGUCUGAGAGGAUGAUCUGCCACACUGGAACUGAGACACGGUCCAGACUCCUACGGGAGGCAGCAGUGGGAAUUUUGGACAAUGGGGGCAACCCUGAUCCAGCCAUGCCGCGUGAGUGAAGAAGGCCU
rnacentral:rRNA from 1 species